AACGAACGCUGGCGGCAGGCUUAACACAUGCAAGUCGAACGCAUCCUUCGGGAUGAGUGGCAGACGGGUGAGUAACGCGUGGGAACGUGCCCUUUAGUUUGGAAUAACCCAGGGAAACUUGGGCUAAUACCGGAUACGCCCGAAAGGGAAGGAUUAUUCGCUGAAGGAGCGGCCCGCCGUCUGAUUAGUCUAGUUGGUUGGAGGUAAUGGCUCACCAAGGCGACGAUCAGUAGCUGGUCGGA
rnacentral:rRNA from 1 species